rnacentral:rRNA from 1 species
UACGGGGGGGGCAAGCGUUGUUCGGAAUUACUGGGCGUAAAGGGCGCGUAGGCGGUUUGCUAAGUUGGAUGUGAAAACUCUGGGCUUAACCCAGAGCCUGCAUCCAAAACUGGCAAACUUGAGUACUGGAGGGGAAAGCGGAAUUCCUGGUGUAGCGGUGAAAUGCGCAGAUAUCAGGAGGAACACCCGUGGCUAAGGCGGCUCUCUAGUACGGUACUGACGCUGAGACGCGAAAGCGUGGGGAGCGAACAGG